UACGUAGGCGGAAAACUAAGUCAGUAGUGAAAUCCUGCAGCUUAACUGUAGAACUGUUAUUGAUACUGGUUUUCUUGAAUAUAGUUGAGGUAGGCGGAAUGUGUAAUGUAGCGGUGAAAUGCUUAGAUAUUACACAGAACACCGAUUGCGAAGGCAGCUUACUAAGCUAUGAUUGACGCUGAGGUACGAAAGCGUGGGGAGCGAACAGGAUUAGAUACCCUGGUAGUCC
rnacentral:rRNA from 1 species